rnacentral:rRNA from 1 species
AACAGGGGAUUGCCCUAGUAACGGCGAGUGAAGCGGCAACAGCUCAAAUUUGAAAUCUGGCUCUUUUAGAGUCCGAGUUGUAAUUUGCAGAGGGCGCUUUGGCGUUGGCAGCGGUCCAAGUUCUUUGGAACAGGACGUCACAGAGGGUGAGAAUCCCGUACGUGGUCGCUAGCCUUCGCCGUGUAAAGCCCCUUCGACGAGUCGAGUUGUUUGGGAAUGCAGCUCUAAAUGGGAGGUAAAUUUCUUCUAAAGCUAAAUACUGGCCAGAGACCGAUAGCGCACAAGUAGAGUGAUCGAAAGAUGAAAAGCACUUUGGAAAGAGAGUCAAAUAGCACGUGAAAUUGUUGAAAGGGAAGCGCUUGCAGCCAGACUUGCCUGUAGUUGCUUAUCCGGACUUUUGUCCGGUGCACUCUUCUGCGGGCAGGCCAGCAUCAGUUUAGGCGGUUGGAUAAAGGUCUCUAUCACGUACCUCCCUUCGGGGUUGGCCUUAUAGGGGAGACGACAUGCAACCAGCCUGAACUGAGGUCCGCGCAUCUGCUAGGAUGCUGGCGUAAUGGCUGUAAGCGGCCCGUCUUGAAACACGGACCAAGGAGUCUAACAUCUAUGCGAGUGUUUGGGUGUCAAGCCCAGACGCGUAAUGAAAGUGAACGGAGGUGGGAACCUUUUAGGUGCACCAUCGACCGAUCCUGAUGUCUUCGGAUGGAUUUGAGUAAGAGCAUGGCUGUUGGGACCCGAAAGAUGGUGAACUAUGCUUGAAUAGGGUGAAGCCAGAGGAAACUCUGGUGGAGGCUCGCAGCGGUUCUGACGUGCAAAUCGAUCGUCAAAUUUGGGCAUAGGGGCGAAAGACUAAUCGAACUAUCUAGUAGCUGGUCU